rnacentral:lncRNA from 1 species
CGCGGAGGGAGGAAGAGAUGAAAGUUUUUGUUUUAAUCUUCUGAUUUUUAUAGAUCAGAUACUUUUUUGUAAUAUAUUUCGAUCAGUUUUGAUCGAAUCUCUAAUUCCGGUUAGCGGAUUUCUGUCUCGCUUUGGCGAUUUUUGGUGUGGAUUUUCAAUCUCAAUAGGGUUUUUGGGUCUUCAUGUUUAUAUUAUGAUUGAGAUUGAAAAAAAUAAAAAGUCCGAUCUUUUCUUUUGAUCGGAUGUGCCUUAAACUUUUUUCCUGAGUAUCCAUGUUUAUAUCCUUUUGUUUGCUUAAGUUUUCUUCUUCGUUGGUCAUCCUCAAUAUUUUAAUCCUCGAAGAAAUAAAUCUUUGCUAAUUUACAUUUUUGUGCAAAGUAUUCUUAAAAGAUGGAGCAUUGAGCUAUGCAUGUUUUCUUCUCGGUUUGGUGCAGUUUUAGAAUAGUUAAAGCUUGCUUUAGUUGCAAGUGUUUCGACGAAAACUUGUUUUGAAUUGUUGAAGUGUCUUGGUGAACACAACUCCGGAGAAGAUGGUAGAAAACCUUUGGGAUAUGGAAGCGAUUGGGGAAGUAAAAAUCAAUGGUGGUGGUUUCUGCAGCGGCAAACAAGUUGAUGGAGCCUUUGAGAGCGCACUUUCCGGCAGAGAUUUCAGCACCUCUUUUCUUUCCGGCACCGUUGGAUUUAAUAACCCAAGAAAUAUAUCUUUAUCUUUAGAAUUGGGUUUGAUGUGGGCUUAUAUUGUUGUUGGGCUUAAACAUCACCAUUG